GAUGAACGCUGGCGGCGUGCCUAAUACAUGCAAGUCGAGCGAACAGACGAGGAGCUUGCUCCUCUGAUGUUAGCGGCGGACGGGUGAGUAACACGUGGAUAACCUACCUAUAAGACUGGGAUAACUUCGGGAAACCGGAGCUAAUACCGGAUAACAUGUUGAACCGCAUGGUUCAACAGUGAAAGACGGUCUUGCUGUCACUUAUAGAUGGAUCCGCGCCGCAUUAGCUAGUUGGUAAGGUAACGGCUUACCAAGGCAACGAUGCGUAGCCGACCUGAGAGGGUGAUCGGUCACACUGGAACUGAGACACGGUCCAGACUCCUACGGGAGGCAGCAGUAGGGAAUCUUCCGCAAUGGGCGAAAGCCUGACGGAGCAACGCCGCGUGAGUGAAGAAGGUCUUCGGAUCGUAAAACUCUGUUAUUAGGGAAGAACAAAUGUGUAAGUAACUAUGCACGUCUUGACGGUACCUAAUCAGAAAGCCACGGCUAACUACGUG
rnacentral:rRNA from 1 species